rnacentral:rRNA from 1 species
UUGAAGAGAAGCUUGCUUCUCCGAUAGUUAGCGGCGGACGGGUGAGUAACACGUAGGCAACCUGCCCUCAAGUUUGGGACAACUACCGGAAACGGUAGCUAAUACCGAAUAGUUGUUUUCUUCUCCUGAAGAAAACUGGAAAGACGGAGCAAUCUGUCACUUGGGGAUGGGCCUGCGGCGCAUUAGCUAGUUGGUGGGGUAACGGCUCACCAAGGCGACGAUGCGUAGCCGACCUGAGAGGGUGAUCGGCCACACUGGGACUGAGACACGGCCCAGACUCCUACGGGAGGCAGCAGUAGGGAAUCUUCCGCAAUGGGCGAAAGCCUGACGGAGCAAUGCCGCGUGAGUGAUGAAGGUUUUCGGAUCGUAAAGCUCUGUUGCCAGGGAAGAACGCUUGGGAGAGUAACUGCUCUCAAGGUGACGGUACCUGAGAAGAAAGCCCCGGCUAACUACGUGCCAGCAGCCGCGGUAAUACGUAGGGGGCAAGCGUUGUCCGGAAUUAUUGGGCGUAAAGCGCGCGCAGGCGGUCAUUUAAGUCUGGUGUUUAAUCCCGGGGCUCAACCCCGGAUCGCACUGGAAACUGGGUGACUUGAGUGCAGAAGAGGAGAGUGGAAUUCCACGUGUAGCGGUGAAAUGCGUAGAUAUGUGGAGGAACACCAGUGGCGAAGGCGACUCUCUGGGCUGUAACUGACGCUGA